UCAAGUGAAUAAGUGCAUCAGGUGGAUGCCUUGGCGAUGAUAGGCGACGAAGGACGUGUAAGCCUGCGAAAAGCGCGGGGGAGCUGGCAAUAAAGCUAUGAUCCCGCGAUGUCCGAAUGGGGAAACCCACCUCUUAGGAGGUAUCCUUAUCUGAAUACAUAGGAUAAGCGAAGCGAACCCGGAGAACUGAACCAUCUAAGUACCCGGAGGAAAAGAAAUCAACCGAGAUUCCGCAAGUAGUGGCGAGCGAACGCGGAGGAGCCUGUACGUGAUAACUGUCGAGAUAGAAGAACAAGCUGGGAAGCUUGACCAUAGUGGGUGAUAGUCCCGUAUUCGAAAUCUCAAUAGUGGUACUAAGCGUACGAAAAGUAGGGCGGGACACGUGAAAUCCUGUCUGAAUAUGGGGGGACCAUCCUCCAAGGCUAAAUACUCAUCAUCGACCGAUAGUGAACCAGUACCGUGAGGGAAAGGCGAAAAGAACCCCGGGAGGGGAGUGAAAUAGAACCUGAAACCUGAUGCAUACAAACAGUGGGAGCACCCUUGUGGUGUGACUGCGUACCUUUUGUAUAAUGGGUCAACGACUUACAUUCAGUAGCGAGCUUAACCGAAUAGGGGAGGCGUAGGGAAACCGAGUCUUAAUAGGGCGAACAGUUGCUGGGUGUAGACCCGAAACCGAGUGAUCUAUCCAUGGCCAGGUUGAAGGUGCCGUAACAGGUACUGGAGGACCGAACCCACGCAUGUUGCAAAAUGCGGGGAUGAGCUGUGGAUAGGGGUGAAAGGCUAAACAAACUCGGAGAUAGCUGGUUCUCCCCGAAAACUAUUUAGGUAGUGCCUCGAGCAAGACACUGAUGGGGGUAAAGCACUGUUAUGGCUAGGGGGUUAUUGCAACUUACCAACCCAUGGCAAACUAAGAAUACCAUCAAGUGGUUCCUCGGGAGACAGACAGCGGGUGCUAACGUCCGUUGUCAAGAGGGAAACAACCCAGACCGCCAGCUAAGGUCCCAAAUGAUAGAUUAAGUGGUAAACGAAGUGGGAAGGCCCAGACAGCCAGGAUGUUGGCUUAGAAGCAGCCAUCAUUUAAAGAAAGCGUAAUAGCUCACUGGUCGAGUCGUCCUGCGCGGAAGAUGUAACGGGGCUCAAAUCUAUAACCGAAGCUGCGGAUGCCAGUUUACUGGCAUGGUAGGGGAGCGUUCUGUAGGCCGAUGAAGGUGCAUUGUAAAGUGUGCUGGAGGUAUCAGAAGUGCGAAUGUUGACAUGAGUAGCGAUAAAGCGGGUGAAAAGCCCGCUCGCCGAAAGCCCAAGGUUUCCUACGCAACGUUCAUCGGCGUAGGGUGAGUCGGCCCCUAAGGCGAGGCAGAAAUGCGUAGUCGAUGGGAAACAGGUUAAUAUUCCUGUACUUGAUUCAAAUGCGAUGUGGGGACGGAGAAGGUUAGGUUAGCAAGCUGUUGGAAUAGCUUGUUUAAGCCGGUAGGUGGAAGACUUAGGCAAAUCCGGGUCUUCUUAACACCGAGAAGUGACGACGAGUGUCUACGGACAUGAAGUAACCGAUACCACGCUUCCAGGAAAAGCCACUAAGCUUCAGUUUGAAUCGAACCGUACCGCAAACCGACACAGGUGGGCAGGAUGAGAAUUCUAAGGCGCUUGAGAGAACUCGGGAGAAGGAACUCGGCAAAUUGAUACCGUAACUUCGGGAGAAGGUAUGCCCUCUAAGGUUAAGGACUUGCUCCGUAAGCCCUGGAGGGUCGCAGAGAAUAGGUGGCUGCGACUGUUUAUUAAAAACACAGCACUCUGCUAACACGAAAGUGGACGUAUAGGGUGUGACGCCUGCCCGGUGCUGGAAGGUUAAUUGAAGAUGUGCAAGCAUCGGAUCGAAGCCCCAGUAAACGGCGGCCGUAACUAUAACGGUCCUAAGGUAGCGAAAUUCCUUGUCGGGU
rnacentral:rRNA from 1 species